GAAGACUCCAGAAUCCACUCUGGCUGGAAUCCGGUGGAUACAGCAGUGUUACAGGUACAGUACGUGAUGUUAAGGGCAGGCGGUCAUCACCGGGGGAAGAAAAGAAGCAGACGUACUUCCAAGAGGGAGCUGCAGUGAGGACACAGCCUGGUCACUGAGGUCAGAGGAGGCGCUGGAAGGUUUCCCUAAUAGUUCCUGGUGAAUCAAAGCAGAACCAUAAAGGUUGCUGGACUGCAUGAUGGCCUUACCCCUGAGCAGUCAUCCUGUUAAAGGAGGAACCAGUUAGAAGCUGUUUUCAAAGUAGCUGAGCAGAUUUCAUCUGAAUUCUGAUCUCUCUGCUGAGCUACACAGGUGCUGAGGUACUUUACUGGGCUGCUGGUCAGACGAGGCUUCUCUGGAGCACUUUGUCCAGCUCGGGUGUUUCAGCACCAAGGACAGCGUGCAGCUCUCUGAGCUUCAGCAGCAGAACUGAAUCCACAGACUUUAGCAGCAGCACAAGAAGUGACACACCCAACUGUUCACAUGCUUUUUAAAUGUUCAUUUAUUAUUGUUUGUGUUACAUUCAUUCAUAACCAAAUUUGAAUUAAUCAGAUGAUCAGUGUUUGACUGCUGUGUGUCUUCAGUGUGUCACUCAAUACUUUAUCAUUAAAACAGAGAGUUGAGGUGUUUUGCUGUUUGAAAAACUACAAACUCAUAAACUUGUGAGUCAGACUGGAUUUCUGGAUCAUUAUUUUCUCACCUGUACCUGAAUCAGCACAAACCCACAGAGUUUGAAAACUCUCAGUGAA